CUUCGGGAGUACAUCAGCGGCGAACGGGUGAGUAACACGUGGGUGACUUGCCCCGAAGAUGGGGAUAACCUCUGGAAACGGGGGCUAAUACCCAAUGUGCUCGGUGAUUCGGUUCAUCGAGUAAAGCUCCGGCGCUUCGGGAGAGGCCUGCGGCCCAUCAGCUAGUUGGUAGGGUAACGGCCUACCGAGGCAGAGACGGGUAGGGGGCGUGAGAGCGCGGACCCCCACACUGGCACUGAGAUACGGGCCAGACUCCUACGGGAGGCAGCAGUAAGGGAUAUUGCGCAAUGGACGAAAGUCAGACGCAGCGACGCCGCGUGGGCGAUGAAGGCCUUCGGGUUGUAAAGCCCUUUUAUGGGGGAAGAGAAAAAGGACGGUACCCCAGGAAUAAGUCCCGGCUAACUACGUGCCAGCAGCCGCGGUAAAACGUAGGGGACAAGCGUUAUCCGGAUUCACUGGGCGUAAAGAGCGUUGAGGCGGUUCCGUAAGUUGGGCGUGAAAGCUCCGGGCUUAACUCGGAGAUGUCGUUCAAUACUGCGGGGCUUGAGGACAGCAGAGGAAGGUGGAAUUCCCGGUGUAGUGGUGAAAUGCGUAGAUAUCGGGAGGAACACCCGUGGCGAAGGCGGCCUUCUGGGCUGUUCCUGACGCUGAAGGCGAAAGCUAGGGGAGCGAACGGGAUUAGAUACCCCGGUAGUCCUAGCUGUAAACGAUGGAUGCUGGGUGUGGGGGGUGUAAAUUCCCUCUGUGCCGAAGCAAACGCGUUAAGCAUCCCGCCUGGGGACUACGGCCGCAAGGCUAAAACUCAAACGAAUUGACGGGGGCCCGCACAAGCAGCGGAGCGUGUGGUUUAAUUCGAUGCUACACGAAGAACCUUACAUGGGUUUGACAUGCACGUGGUAGGGAACCGAAAGGGGACCGACAUUCGGGAGCGUGCACAGGUGCUGCAUGGCUGUCGUCAGCUCGUGCCGUGAGGUGUCGGGUUAAGUCCCGUAACGAGCGCAACCAUUGCCCUUAGUUACAAGUGUCUAAGGGGGACUGCCCGGGACAACUGGGAAGAAGGUGGGGAUGACGUCAAGUCAGCAU
rnacentral:rRNA from 1 species